rnacentral:rRNA from 1 species
UGAGGAAUAUUGCGCAAUGGACGGAAGUCUGACGCAGCAACGCCGCGUGGGCGAAGAAGGCCUUCGGGUCGUAAAGCCCUUUUCUGAGGGACGAGGCAGGACGGUACCUCAGGAAUCAGUCUCGGCUAACUACGUGCCAGCAGCCGCGGUAAAACGUAGGAGGCAAGCGUUAUCCGGAUUUAUUGGGCGUAAAGCGCAUGCAGGUGGUUCCGCAAGUCGGGUGUGAAAGCUCCUGGCUUAACUGGGAGAGGUCGUUCGAAACUGCGGGACUGGAGGUCGGAAGAGGGAAGCGGAAUUCCCGGUGUAGUGGUGGAAUGCGUAGAUAUCGGGAGGAACACCAGUGGCGAAAGCGGCUUCCUGGUCCGCACCUGACACUCAGAUGCGAAAGCGUGGGGAGCGAACG